GUGCCAGCAGCCGCGGUAAUACGUAGGUGGCAAGCGUUAUCCGGAAUUAUUGGGCGUAAAGCGCGCGCAGGCGGUUUCUUAAGUCUGAUGUGAAAGCCCACGGCUCAACCGUGGAGGGUCAUUGGAAACUGGGGAACUUGAGUGCAGGAGAGAAAAGCGGAAUUCCACGUGAAGCGGUGAAAGGCGUAGAGAUGGGGAGGAAAACCAGUGGCGAAGGAGGCUUUUUGGUCUGUAACUGACGCUGAGGCGUG
rnacentral:rRNA from 1 species